GACGAACGCUGGCGGCGUGCCUAAUACAUGCACGUCGAGCGAAGCGGCGGAUGGGUGAGUAACGCGUGGGUGACCUGCCCUUAAGUCUGGGAUACCAUUUGGCAACAGAUGCUAAUACCGGAUACUAAAGGAUGGACCUGCGAUGCAUUAGCUAGUUGGUAAGGUAACGGCGUACCAAGGCGAUGAUGCAUAGCCGAGUUGAGAGACUGAGCGGCCACAUUGGGACGUAGACACGGCCCAAACUCCUACGGGAGGCAGCAGUAGGGAAUCUUCCACAAGGGACGAAAGCCUGAUGGAGCAAUGCCGCGUGAGUGAAGAAGGUUUUCGGAUCGUAAAGCUCUGUUGUUGGUGAAGCGGUAAUCAACCAGAAAGUAACGGCUAACUACGUGCCAGCAGCCGCGGUAAUUC
rnacentral:rRNA from 1 species